GAAAUGCGAUAAGUAGUGUGAAUUGCAGAUUUCAGUGAAUCAUCGAAUCUUUGAACGCACAUUGCGCCCUUUGGCAUUCCGAAGGGCAUGCCUGUCUGAGCGUCAAUAAAUCAAUCAAAUCUCGGUUUGGUAUUGAGAGAAGUGGUUUUUAAAGGCCUCUCUCUUGUAAGGUAUUGGCGGUGCUAUAACAGCUUGUAAGACGUAGUAAGCAAUUUCUCGUUGAAGCAACUGUUUGGUGUCCUGCCAACUGAAUGAUUUAUUUUACAGCUUGACCUCAGAUCAGGUAGGGAUACCCCCUGAACUUAA
rnacentral:misc_RNA from 1 species